UUUGGAGGAAAAAAGCUGAAAAGGGUUGCAACAACGGAGACUACAUCCCGUAAUAGACAAAUGGCUGCCUUGCUUGGCCUCAGAGGAACACAGAGAAAUAACUCUGGUAAACAGAAAACCGUGUUGCAAUCCGAGAGCAACAAGGAGAAUGUGCCGUUUGAGAAGCAGCCAACAAGAAAGGAAAACCAUGUGGAAGGGAUGGAUGUCAGCCCCCAGAGCAGGGGGGAGGUUCUGGGUAAAAAUCUGUCUCAGAGUGAUCAGGUAACCAAGGAGAGGGUAGUCCUUAGGGAUAAAAGCAAUGCCCUGCCCUACCUUAAAGGAGGUCAUCAGAAGGUCAAGGCCACAUCAGAUUCAUUAUGGGUUAAGAAAGGAGGGUUGCUGAGGAAGAGCAGGUCUCUCCAGAAGGCUGUGUUCAGUGUGAAUAAUCCGGAGCCACUGGCUGUGAUGGAUGAUGAUUUCCUUCCCAUGGACAUAGAUUUUGUGGACCCUCUACAGAAGAUACGGCAAGUCCAGGUAAAGAUCCCAGAGGAAAUCCAGGAGAUCACUAGCAGACUGGAUGGUCCGUUCAACAGUCCAGAAUACUCGGAGGACAUCUACGAAUAUCUACAGUACUUGGAGAGAAGAUUUGUCUACCCCGAGAAUUUCCUUAGCAACAAUGGAGAAGUGACCCCACAAAUGAGAAGCAUCCUUACAGACUGGUUCAUACAAGUUCAGGUUCACCAAGAGCUCUCCCAGCAAACUUUGCACCUGACUGUUGAACUGGUGGACCGGUUCCUUACCUAUCAAAGAAUCCCCCUGAACACUUUCCAACUGGUCGGAAUCACCUGUCUGCUUAUUGCUGCCAAGUAUCACGAACGAUUUGCUCCCGAGGUGCAGACCCUGUGCUAUUUGACAGACAACACCUAUGACAAGAACCAGGUCCUCAAGAUGGAGAGACAGAUUCUGAGAACCAUUGGGUUUGACCUCAACAUUGUAGAUGUCACAGUCUUCAUGGACAAAAUUCUUUUGAUUGAGAGUGACCUUCCAAAAGAAAUGAGACAGAUGACCAAGUACCUGUUGGACCUGACCCUCACCUCUGAUGAUUUUGUGUGCACUGUUCCCUCCCUGAUGGCCUCUGCAGCAGUUUGUCUGGCCAGGAAAAUCCUGGUCUCUGACAAGUCCAGCUGGACUCUAGGACUGUCCUACUUCUCCCGCUAUGCCGAGAAAGACCUUAUUCCAUGCAUGAAAAAAAUGGUGGACCUUUUAAUCAAGGCCCCAGACUGCAAGUUCCAGGGAGCCCGAGUGAAAUACUCUGGUGAAUCGUACUGUAGAAUCAGUUACCACCCAAACUUGAAGACCCACCUAGAAGAUAUUGAUGAGGAACUUAUCAUAGGGAAGAAAAAAUAAGAGGUGUUAACACAGCAACUUGUGAUAAGUGUUUAUGAAAACCUCACAUGAUCUAUAAUCACUUUGAUGGAUAUAUUUAGGCUGUACAAGAGACUUAGAGAUGGCAAUUUGCUAACAAUUGCUGCGACAAAAUGGGUUCAUGAAAAUUCUGGAAAUGUGUUUUGGACAUUUAUAUGGGAAUUGAUAGACUUGAUUUUUUUUUUACCUUUUUGUUUGCUACUUAAUUUAUUAUUGUAGUUGGAAGCUACUUGUAUAAGCUUUUUUUUUUGAAAAAUAAAGAGUCUUAAAAACAGCUUCCAAUAUAAAUGGCAUUCCUCUUAACAGAAAUAUUUUUUCCUUUGUUGUGAUAUCCAAUAAUUAUUUGAUCUUUAUUUAUAUUUCUGCAAAAGUUGAUCGAUACUUAUUUUUGUACAUAAACCAGGUAUUAUGAAAUGCUUUUUCAAAGUAAAACUACCUAUACUAUACUUAUGAUAUUUUGAUACAUACCAUUUUUUUUUUUUACAUUUAUGUUAAUUUAUAUAUUGAUAUUAUCUUGGUGAUAUUGACCAUAAAUCUCUUUCCUCGUCAUGUUAAAUAUGUUCAAAUAUAUUCUGUGUUCUUUGCUACACUUGAAUUUUCAUACAUGUUCUUUAAUUAUACAUUUGUUGAUAUGGUGCACUCAAAACUAUGCAUUUAUAUGCAUGGAUAUUGUAAUUAUAUAAUUUGCUAUUUUAAAAAAAAAUGAUGUUUAUAUAUCUGUUUAUUUACAUGUUAUACAAAGUUUUUUCUUAAAAAAUUAUGAUCCACUAAUCUAUGUGCAUAUCUAAUCUAUUAUAAAAUGUGAUUGAGUCU
rnacentral:misc_RNA from 1 species